rnacentral:rRNA from 1 species
AUUGAACGCUGGCGGCAUGCCUUACACAUGCAAGUCGAGCGGCAGCGCGGGGGCAACCCUGGCGGCGAGCGGCGAACGGGUGAGUAAUGCAUCGGAACGUGUCCUCUUGUGGGGGAUAACCAGUCGAAAGACUGGCUAAUACCGCAUGAGCUCGCGAGAGGAAGGCAGGGGACCCGCAAGGGCCUUGCGCGAGAGGAGCGGCCGGUGCCGGAUUAGCUAGUUGGUGGGGUAAAAGCCCACCAAGGCGACGAUCCGUAGCUGGUAUGAGAGUACGACCAGCCACACUGGGAAUGAGACACGGCCCAGACUCCUACGGGAGGCAGCAGUGGGGAAUUUUGGACAAUGGGGGCAACCCUGAUCCAGCCAUGCCGCGUGUGUGAAGAAGGCCUUCGGGUUGUAAAGCACUUUCGGACGGAACGAAAUCGCGCGGGCGAAUACCCCGCGUGGAUGACGGUACCGUAAGAAGAAGCACCGGCUAACUACGUGCCAGCCGCCGCCGUAACAC